GUCCAAAGGUCCCAAACUCCUAAACAAACUAGACUGUACUAGUGAUCAAAUCUAAAGUUUUUAUAGAAAACCCUAUUACAGGUUUCUAUGGCAAUGAAGAAGGUGGUUUUCUUUGUCCUACUCUUGGUUUUUGCAACUGAGUUCAUAGAAUGUUGUGAGAAUGAUAAGCAGUGUGGAGAUAUACAUCCUCCAGAAUGUUGCUACAAAUAUGUGUCGGAAAGCAGAAGAUGCAUGUUAACGUGUGCCGCAAAGUCUGCUGAAAAGCACAGGCGUUUACUUUCCAUGAUUGUUCCUUUACAGGACGUGUGAAAUAAAAAGUUUAUUAUUAUGAAGGUGGAAGUAGCAUCUCCAAAGAACAUAAGAUAUUGUUGUCUUUUGUUCUAUUCCGGAGGGUUGUUUGGAAUAUAAAAUAAUGAUAAUAAUGAAUUAAUAAAAGUUACCUCUUAAAUUCC